AUGUCUUCCUGUCAUCUUAGUGUGGAUUGUCUUCCUCUUGGCACCCUGUUCUUCUGUCAGACGCCAGCUGCCUUAAUUGUUACCUUUUUGGAUAGAGUAGCAGUCACCAUGAGGAUGUAUCCAGUGCUUUCUAGCCUGACAGUGACUGGUGUGGUUGGUCCUAAAAUUGGUGCAAAUGGUCAGAAAAAAUUCUUAGAAAUUGUUGAAAGAAAAUCAAUCUACCAUGCCACAGAAUUUCAAACCUACAUUUUGGUCUACACAUUGGAGAAACCACUGAGACAAACUGCUGAACUUGACAAAGGAAAGAGAAAACACUGUUGA
rnacentral:rRNA from 1 species